rnacentral:rRNA from 1 species
AGGGCACCACCAGGAGUGGAGCCUGCGGCUUAAUUUGACUCAACACGGGGAAACUUACCCGGCCUGGACACUGGAAGGAUUGACAGAUUGAGAGCUCUUUCUUGAUUCAGUGGGUGGUGGUGCAUGGCCGUUCUUAGUUGGUGGAGCGAUUUGUCUGGUUAAUUCCGAUAACGAACGAGACUCUAGCCUAUUAAAUAGGCUCUCGGCUUUUAAACGCCGGGAGGACUUCUUAGAGGGACAGGUGGCGGUUCAGCCGCACGAAAGAGAGCAAUAACAGGUCUGUGAUGCCCUUUGUUGUCCGGGGCCGCACGCGCGCUACACUGAAGAGAUCAGCGUGCUUUACGUUCCUGCUCCGACCGGAGUGGGGAACCCAGUGAACCUUCUUCGUGAUUGGGAUAGAAGAUUGUAAUUAUUCUUCUUGAACGAGGAAUUCCCUCUAAAUGCAUGUCAUAAACUCGCGUUGAUUACUUCCCUGCCCGUUGUAUGUACCGACCGUCGCUACUACCUAGUGAUUGAUCU